UACAGAGGUCCCAAGCGUUGUUCGGAUUCACUGGGCGUAAAGGGUGCGUAGGCGGUCGGGUAAGUCUGAUGUGAAAUCUCACAGCUUAACUGUGAAACUGCAUUGGAUACUAUUCGGCUUGAGAGUUGGAGGGGGGACUGGAAUUCUUGGUGUAGCAGUGAAAUGCGUAGAGAUCAUGAGGAAGACCAGUGGCGAAGGCGGGUCUCUGGACAGUUCCUGACACUGAGACACGAAGGCCAGGGGAGCAAACGGG
rnacentral:rRNA from 1 species